rnacentral:rRNA from 1 species
AAUAGCUCACUGGUCGAGUGACCCUGCGCGGAAAAUAUAACGGGGCUAAGCGUCCAACCGAAGCUUGGGAUGUCUAAGGACAUGGUAGGGGAGCGUCGUGUAUAGGGAGAAGCAUGAGCGAGAGCACAUGUGGACAGUACACGAGUGAGAAUGCCGGAAUGAGUAGCGAGAAUUAUGUGGGAAUCAUAAUGGCCGAAAAUCUAAGGUUUCUUGGGGAAGGUUCGUCCGCCCAAGGUAAGCCGGGAGCUAAGGCGAGGCCGAAAGGCGUAGUCGAUGCACAUACGGUUGAAAUUCCGUAGCCGCCGAAAUUGUUAAGCACAGGGACACAUAGAGAUAUCCGAACCCGGGCGUUGGUUGACCCGGGCGCAAGGGACCGAACAUCAGUAGGGAAGUCGGAGAUGCUCUGUGGCGAGAAAAGCUGUGUGUAUUGAUUAGGCGCCCGUACCGCAAACCGACACAGGUAGAUGAGGAGAGAAUCCUAAGGCCAACGGGAGAAGGGUUGUUAAGGAGCUCGGCAAAUUGACCCCGUAACUUCGGGAUAAGGGGAGCCUCCUACGGGAGGCCGCAGUGAAUACGCCCAAGCAACUGUUUACCAAAAACACAGGUCUCUGCUAAAUCGAAAGAUGACGUAUAGGGGCUGACGCCUGCCCGGUGCCGGAAGGUUAAGAGGAGAGCUUAGCGCAAGCGAAGGUUCGAAUUGAAGCCCCGGUAAACGGCGGCCGUAACGAUAACGGUCCUAAGGUAGCGAAAUUCCUUGUCAGGUAAGUUCUGACCCGCACGAAUGGCGUAAUGAUUUGGGCACUGUCUCAACAGCCCGCCCGGCGAAAUUGUAGUACUGGUGAAGAUGCCAGUUACCCGCAACUAGACGGAAAGACCCCAUGGAGCUUUACUGUAGCCUAAUACUGAAGAUCGGUAAUGCAUGUACAGGAUAGGUGGGAGCCAGCGAAACCCGGGCGUCAGCUCGGAUGGAGGCAACCUUGGAAUACCACCCUUGUAUUGCUGGUUUUCUAACCUGCGGCCAUGAAUCUGGUCGGGGGACACUGUUAGGUGGGCAGUUUGACUGGGGCGGUCGCCUCCAAAAGCGUAACGGAGGCGCUCAAAGGUUGGCUCAGCACGGACGGAAAUCGUGCAUAGAGUGCAAACGCAUAAGCCAACUUGACUGCGAGACCGACGGGUCGAGCAGGUACGAAAGUAGGAGUUAGUGAUCCGGUGGUAUGUGAGUGGAAAUGCCAUCGCUCUGCGGAUAAAAGCUACCCUGGGGAUAACAGCUGAUCUCCCCCAAGCGUCCACAGCGACGGGGAGGUUUGGCACCUCGAUGUCGGCUCGUCACAUCCUGGGGCUGUAUUCGGUCCCAAGGGUUCGGCUGUUCGCCGAUUAAAGUGGCACGCGAGCAGGGUUCAGAACGUCGUGAGACAGUUCGGUCCCUAUCUGUUGCGGGCGCAGGAGAUUUGAAGGGAGCUGUCCUUAGUACGAGAGGACCGGGAUGGACAGACCUCUGGUGCACCAGUUGUCGUGCCAACGGCACAGCUGGGUAGCUACGUCUGGACGAGAUAAACGCUGAAAGCAUCUAAGUGUGAAACUCCCCCUAAGAUAAGAUCUCCCAUCCAUUAGGAGUAAGGGACGACAGAGACUAUGUCGUUGAUAGGUCGGAAGUGUAAGUGCAGUAAUGCAUUGAGCUGACCGAUACUAAUAACCCGAGGGCUUGACCA